rnacentral:rRNA from 1 species
GCAGUCGAACGAUGAUCAGGAGCUUGCUUCUGUGAUUAGUGGCGAACGGGUGAGUAACACGUGAGUAACCUGCCCCUGACUCUGGGAUAAGCGUUGGAAACGACGUCUAAUACUGGAUAUGACUUCCGGCCGCAUGGUCUGGUUGUGGAAAGAUUUUUUGGUUGGGGAUGGACUCGCGGCCUAUCAGCUUGUUGGUGAGGUAAUGGCUCACCAAGGCGACGACGGGUAGCCGGCCUGAGAGGGUGACCGGCCACACUGGGACUGAGACACGGCCCAGACUCCUACGGGAGGCAGCAGUGGGGAAUAUUGCACAAUGGGCGAAAGCCUGAUGCAGCAACGCCGCGUGAGGGAUGACGGCCUUCGGGUUGUAAACCUCUUUUAGUAGGGAAGAAGCGAAAGUGACGGUACCUGCAGAAAAAGCACCGGCUAACUACGUGCCAGCAGCCGCGGUAAUACGUAGGGUGCAAGCGUUGUCCGGAAUUAUUGGGCGUAAAGAGCUCGUAGGCGGUUUGUCGCGUCUGCUGUGAAAUCCCGAGGCUCAACCUCGGGCUUGCAGUGGGUACGGGCAGACUAGAGUGCGGUAGGGGAGAUUGGAAUUCCUGGUGUAGCGGUGGAAUGCGCAGAUAUCAGGAGGAACACCGAUGGCGAAGGCAGAUCUCUGGGCCGUAACUGACGCUGAGGAGCGAAAGCAUGGGGAGCGAACA